rnacentral:rRNA from 1 species
UACGUAGGGUGCGAGCGUUAAUCGGAAUUACUGGGCGUAAAGCGUGCGUAGGCGGUCCCGCAAGUCCGCUGUGAAAGCCCCGAGCUCAACUUGGGAACGGCAGUGGAAACUAUGGGACUUGAAUCCGGCAGAGGGGGGUGGAAUGCCACGUGUAGCAGUGAAAUGCGUAGAGAUGUGGCGGAACACCGAUGGCGAAGGCAGCCCCCUGGGCUGAGAUUGACGCUCAGGCACGAAAGCGUGGGGAG